GGGGAUGUGGCUCAGUGUUAGAGUGCUUGCCUAACCUGCAAAGUCCUGGGUUCCAUCCCCAGUAUCACACA
rnacentral:tRNA from 1 species